rnacentral:lncRNA from 1 species
CUUUAAUCGCGGUAUAUUAAAGACAAUUCAAUGUUCAAAAUAAUGUUUACUAUUUUAAUUACUUUUCCCACCACAGUUAAAUAGAAAAGAAAUUAUGCAACAAACCUAAUUGAUGUUACAGAUUUUAUUCUUUAAUAUUUAUUUAUUUAUUUAUUUUUAAGAAACUGUAAGAGAAAUACCAUAGAAAAUCUUCCGCAAGAGCACUGAACGAUGAACCAUACAGGAUGAGCAGGGACAUGUACCCCAGCGUUCUUUUGAGGAGCACAACAGCCCAGAGAAGAGUGUGUCAAGCAACUGAGAGUGACUGAGUG